UACAGAGGAGCCAAGCGUUGUCCGGAUUGACUGGGCGUAAAGCGCACGCAGGCGGAUGCGCGCGUGGGGUGUGAAAUCUGGCCGCUUAACGGCCAGGCGCCAUCCCAUACGGCGCGUCUGGAGUGAUGCAGAGGUCGAUGGAAUUGCCGGUGUAGUGGUGAAUGCGUAGAGAUCGGCAGGAACACCCAGGGGGAAACCAGUCGACUGGGCAUCUACUGACGCUGAGGUGCGAGAGCGUGGGGAGCGAACCGG
rnacentral:rRNA from 1 species